CCUGCCUGGAGCGCUGCCAGAGCUGCUGAAAUUACAUAUUUGGAAAGUGCAGCAGGAAAAAUUGACUUUGAAUGUUUGAGAGGGAAGCAGAUGCAUCUCCUUCAUUAAGGAAAGAGAUGAUUCAAAGCCUGUCUUUUAAACAGUUUGCCGUGAAAUGACAGCAGCAAGCACAAAUAUCUGGUAACAAGGCCCAUCAUAAACAUGAAGGCAAGAAAGUGUCUCCAAGAAUGAGAUUUCCAGAUUCCUUGCAUCUCUCUGAAGUCUGUGAAGGGAUUUGAUUCUGCCUUCUGGUCUUAGCCAGAAGCUGACAGCUCCUUGGAAGAUAAGCCUGCACUUUCAUUUCUGUUCAGACACACUCUGCUCUGCCUGCAGCCCGGGCAGCCCCUGGGGGAGGCUCAGCAGCUGCAGGACAGUGGCUCAGGACCCCCUGCACGGCUCCCCAUGGCCUGGGCACGAGCUCGUUACGUGCAGACCUCGAUGUCGGGAAGGAGGAGGCAUGCCUUCUGUGUGAGUAAAGCCAAGUGUGUACCACUGCUAUAGCUAAUAUCUUGUCUACUCGUUUUCAGUUCAUAUCUAAUUGCUAGAGAGACAGAGAACAGUGCUGCAGUUAAACUGUUAGGUUUUCCUCCUGCUGCUCUGGGUGCUGAGGUCCCGCUGGUGUCGCACAAGGGCCAGACCUUUGCUGGGAGGAACGCAACGUGCUUUGUGUGGGUUCGCAUCUGUCAUCACCACGUGGGGACGGCGGCUGUGCCUCUGGGUCUUGUUGUUUUGUUGGUCACAAAAGUGAGCAGCUACGAUUUUGUAAAUAGGCCCUGGCAUGGCUGGCUGCGGGCUGUUUGCUGGCGGUUGUCCUCAGGUGGGGCCCUCCUGGGAAGGGCGAAGAAGCCAUGUCCCAGGGUCCACAAAACCAGCCUCAGCCCUCAGAACAUACAGCCCUUGCACAUCAUACCUGAAAGUUUCCUGGUGGCUCUAAGGAAGCUGUGAUGCAGUCGGUAAUGCACCUUGUGAAAUCUGCCAGUACCUUCAUACAUCUACACACCCUUCUCUUUAAAGCAAAACCAAAACAAACAAACAAACAAAACAAAACAAAACAAAAAAACAGCUUUUAUAAGGUGACUGAAGAAGGGAUUCAGCGAAUUAAGGGUUAUUCUCAAGCUGGUUUUUGGCUACAUUUCAUAACUGUUUCUAAUGUAAAAUCGUAGUGCGCCUACCAUAAAAUAUAUUGUUAUUUACAGGAGAAAAAAGAGAAGUAAUGUAGACUUGUGGUCUUUUUUGUUAAUGAAAUGAAUGAAUGAAUGGCUGGUAGUCUCACGACACUAUUACAAAAGGUAGAGGAAACAGUGCUGUGAAAAGCAGGUAAGUAUUACAGCCUGCUGCACACCCACAAGUUUUUUAUAAUAAUGUGAGGAGAAGAGGCUGGGGCAGGACCGAGCCAGCUGGGGACUUUGCUAGCUUUGUGAAGCUGAACUGACUAGAAUGAGGCACCUUUCACAAGGAUGGAGCAUUUGUUUCUGUUAACUGGGUAGAGGCAGUAUAAGUAUGUGUUCAUGGUUGGAUGUGUACAGCCUGAAUGUUGCAGAUUUUUUGCUGUUAGUCAGGGGAAUGGCAGUUGUAAUAACACCCAUUGUUUUAGUAAGAUACUUGUAAAACCCCUGAGACCCUGCUGAUAAUGACUUCUUAAUAAGGGAGAGAUGAGAAGUGGAGGAAUAGAAUUAAGUACCCUACAUGGAUAUGUGACCACAUAUGGAUCUGAGUAUAGAAGGGAAACAAUUAGAGAUAUAAAGGAGCAACUCAGAACUUCCUCCAAAGAGACACUUCUACCAAGGGCUCAUCCUGCUGCUU